rnacentral:lncRNA from 1 species
GAUAGGGUUUAGUUUCUGGAAUAUUGGGUUCACCGUUGAGAAAGCAUUACUUGUUUCUAUUAUGUUUGGAUAUGGAAUAGAACAUUUCGGCAUGUUAUAAUUUAAUAUAACAUAAUAUAAUUUAAUAUUACAUAUCAUUAUGUAUUUCUUAGAUUUUGAUAUAUGAGUUUAGGGUUUAUAUUUGGGUUAGGGUUUAGUGAUUAGAAUUUAGGGUUUAGGUUUUAGAUGAUAUGGAAUAGAACUUAGAUGAUAUGGAAUAUAAUUUUCAGUGCUUAUGUAUGUGAUCAAUAAAGUUAUACGUGGAUGGCUUUUUCUUCUUUCAAAAAACCACAACGUUACUUACGUUAUAAAUUGUAACUGGCAACCUAUUACAGGAAUGGACAGAACCGGAUAGAAUGUGUACAAAAAGUCUGACAUUAAAUUAUGUCAAAAUCAAUGAUAGUUACUUAAUUUCACAUUGAAAUAUGGCUAUCUCACCAAUAAGCCCUUAACAAAAUCGAUGUGGUCCUUAAAAAAAAAAAAAAAAUUGAUGUGGUCCUUAAAAAAAAAAACAAAAUUGAUGUCUAAGGCUUUUCUUCGUUUUUAAUAUAAUGGUCGUUAAAAAAAAUCGAUGUGGUUUCCUUAUUUAUAGGUCGUGGAGUUAUUUUAGGAAAUGUGGAAAAUACAAGCUAUUUUAAGGUGAAACUAAUUAAAUUCUCAGUGGUAUAUGACUGUAAAUAAAUUGAAAAACUAAAGGUUAUUUUAUAAGUGUACUUCUGUUUUAAUAAAGUAGAUGUACAUAUAAAAUCAUGUACACAUGUACAUAUAAAAUCAUGAUGUACCUUUUUGGCAAUUUUAUUUAAUGAGUGGCAUUUUAGUAAAUAUAUCUUCGUAUUCCCCAAAAUUUUUAGGUUUCCU